GGGGGAAAAUUAAUAAAAUAUAAAUAAUAAAAAAAUUUUUAAUAUUGGGGGAUAUUAGAGUAUUUUUUUAAAAAAAAAUAAAUUAUUUUAUAGUUAAUUAGUAUUGAAAAAGAAAUUUGAAAUAAGUGAAAAAGAAAAUAAUUAAAAAGUAGUUUUAAUUUAAUGUAUCUUGUGUAUCAGAGUUUAUUAAAAAAUAUUUUUUUUAUUAAAUAAAUCUCGAAUUUGAAAGAGCUAAUUAAUUAAAAAAGUUAAUGUAGAAAAAUUAUUUUAUAUAAUUAAUUAGAAAUGAAAUGUUAGUCGUUUUUAAAUAUAUCUAGUUAUUUUAGAAAAAAAUUUAAUUUAAAAUUUAAAAAAUUUUAUUAUUAAUUAUAAUUAAUAAUAAAAUAUUUAAAAUUAAAUAUAUUAAGGGAUAAGCUUUAAUAUAAAAAUUUAUAAUAAUUAAGAUAAAUAUAAAAAUUUUAAAAUUUAUAUUGUUUAAAAAUUAUAAUUUAUUAUAAAAAAUUUUAUAAAUAAUAAAAUUUAAUAAAAAAAAUUUAAUUUUAUAUAAAAUAAUAAUUUUAAAUAAAAAAAAAUUAAAAAUAAUGAUAAAAUUAGUAUAAUAAUAUGAUAAUAAAAUUUAAUUAUAGUAAAAUUAAAUUAAAGGAAUUCGGCAAAAAUUUAUAUUCACUUGUUUAUCAAAAACAUGUCUUUUAGAAAAUAAUUUAAAGUCUAAUCUGCCCACUGAUAGGUAUAUUAAAGGGCUGCAGUAUAAUGACUGUACAAAGGUAGCAUAAUCAAUAGUCUUUUAAUUGAAGACUUGUAUGAAAGAUUUGAUGAAAUAUAAUCUGUCUCUAAUUUAUAAAUAGAAUUUAUUUUUUUAGUUAAAAAGCUAAGAUGAAUUUAAAAGACGAGAAGACCCUAUAGAGUUUUAUAUUAAUAUAUUUAAGAUUAUGUAUAUAAAUAAAAAUUAAAAAUAAAAAUAAUAUUUUAUUGGGGUGAUAAAAAAAUUAAUUUAACUUUUUUUUUAAGUAUUAACAUGAAUAAGUGAAUAUUUGAUCCAUUAAUUAUGAUUAAAAGAAAAAAUUACCUUAGGGAUAACAGCGUAAUAUUUUUUUUUAGUACAAAUAAGAAAAAAAGUUUGCGACCUCGAUGUUGGAUUAAGAUAAAAUUUAAAUGCAAAAGUUUAAAAUUUUGAUCUGUUCGAUCAUUAAAAUCUUACAUGAUCUGAGUUCAAACCGGCGUGAGCCAGGUUGGUUUCUAUCUUUAGAAUAAUAAAAUAUUUUAGUACGAAAGGAUUAAAUAUUUUUAAUAAUUAAAAUUUUAUGAAUAUUAUUAAUUAAUUAAUUAA
rnacentral:rRNA from 1 species